UACAGAGGUCUCAAGCGUUGUUCGGAUUCAUUGGGCGUAAAGCGUGCGCAGGCGGUUUCGUAAGUCUGUCGUGAAAGCCCCGGGCUCAACCUGGGAAUUGCGAUGGAGACUGCGAGGCUAGAGUGUGUCAGAGGGGGGUAGAAUUCCACGUGUAGCAGUGAAAUGCGUAGAUAUGUGGAGGAACACCGAUGGCGAAGGCAGCCCCCUGGGAUAACACUGACGCUCAUGCACGAAAGCGUGGGGAGCAAACAGG
rnacentral:rRNA from 1 species